ACCUAGUCCCAAUCCUGAAGUCAAUUAUUACUUAACUUACACAUGCAAGUCUCCGCACCCCUGUGAAAACGCCCUCAAUCCCCUCCUAGGACUGAUGGAGCAGGUAUCAGAUUAACUUAUUUUUCCAAAACACCUAGCCCCGCCACACCCAUAAGGGCCCCUGCAGCAGUGACUAACAUUGAACAUAAGCGACAGCUUGAUUCAGUUAAAGUAUACCGGGCUGGCAAAGCUAGUGCCAGUCGCCUCGGUUAAACUACAUCAGCCCAAAUUGACCUCACUCGGCGUAAAGCGUGAUUAAAUUCCAUACCCAAUAGAGCUAAAACUUACCUUCUAAUUAUAAAAUCAACCACGAAAGUUACUCUACCUAACCCAACCUCACGACAACUAGGACUCAAACUGAGAUUAGAUACCUCACUAUGCCUAGUCGUAAACUAUUACUUACACCACAAUCGCC
rnacentral:rRNA from 1 species